UUGUAUUGCAUGCGGAAAUUGCUACCAUUUUCGGCCCAAACACAUUUGGGCCGAAAAUGGUAGCAAUUUCCGCACGCAAUACAAAAGUAUACAAA